UACAUGCAAGUCGAGCGAACAGACGAGGAGCUUGCUCCUUUGACGUUAGCGGCGGACGGGUGAGUAACACGUGGGUAACCUACCUAUAAGACUGGGAUAACUUCGGGAAACCGGAGCUAAUACCGGAUAAUAUUUCGAACCGCAUGGUUCGAUAGUGAAAGAUGGCUCUGCUAUCACUUAUAGAUGGACCUGCGCCGUAUUAGCUAGUUGGUAAGGUAACGGCUUACCAAGGCAACGAUACGUAGCCGACCUGAGAGGGUGAUCGGCCACACUGGAACUGAGACACGGUCCAGACUCCUACGGGAGGCAGCAGUAGGGAAUCUUCCGCAAUGGGCGAAAGCCUGACGGAGCAACGCCGCGUGAGUGAUGAAGGUCUUCGGAUCGUAAAACUCUGUUAUUAGGGAAGAACAAACGUGUAAGUAACUGUGCACGUCUUGACGGUACCUAAUCAGAAAGCCACGGCUAACUACGUGCCAGCAGCCGCGGUAAUACGUAGGUGGCAAGCGUUAUCCGGAAUUAUUGGGCGUAAAGCGCGCGUAGGCGGUUUUUUAAGUCUGAUGUGAAAGCCCACGGCUCAACCGUGGAGGGUCAUUGGAAACUGGAAAACUUGAGUGCAGAAGAGGAAAGUGGAAUUCCAUGUGUAGCGGUGAAAUGCGCAGAGAUAUGGAGGAACACCAGUGGCGAAAGGCGACUUUCUGGUCUGUAACUGACGCUGAUGUGCGAAAGCGUGGGGAUCAAACAGGAUUAGAUACCCUGGUUAGUCCACGCCGUAAACGAUGAGUGCUAAGUGUUAGGGGUUUCCGCCCCUUAGUGCUGCAGCUAACGCAUUAAGCACCUCCGCCUGGGGGAGUACGACCCGCAAGUUGAAACUCAAAGGAAUUUGACUGGGGACCCCGCACAAGCGGUGGGAGCAUGUGGGUUUAAUUCCGAAGCAACGCGAAGACCUUUACAAAUUCUUGGACAUCCUUUGACCCCUUUCUGAGAGAUAUAGAAAGUUUCCCC
rnacentral:rRNA from 1 species